CGAGGGUCAUAAGCAGGAGCGAGGUCGGAGCCUCCGGGGAGGCUUCCCCCACGCGGGUGGAGCGCUCCGGAGGCGGGGCCCUCAAGGCCCGGGUGUCUUAACCCCGCCGCGCCCGGGCCGAGUUCGAGAGCCGCUGGUGCUUCCCAGGCCGUCGCGCUCCUGGCCGCGCACCCAGCCAGGGACCCAGAGGCCCUCAGCCCCGGGCUCUGCGCGUACACUGAGGGCGCGGCGCAGCAGGACAGCAAGAUAAGGAAGCAGAGACUGAAGGGAGGAAUCCCCGCUUUCCGGGGAUGAUGGCGUUCGAGUUGGGUCUGUGAGGGAUGAAAUAGGAGUUGGCCAGAGGGAGAGAGGGACUCUAGGCCUCGAGAAGAGCACGUGCAGAGGUUCCGUGACACGAAAACGCCAGAACUGGCGGACUCUUGGGUGCUUGGAGACACUAUAUAAAUAAGGAACUCUGGCUGUGUGCAUGGGAGAGUAUAUUAACAGGGCUUGGCCUGGCUGUGAGGUGCAGAGAUGCCGUUUCUCUCAGGCUGGGAACUUCAGGAAAGCCAGGACCAAGUCAAUCUUGAUCUAGGCUCUGUCUUCAGCAUCUAGAACCAGGCUUGGCACCAACUGAGUAGGACAAUUUGGCCAUCUACACACUGAUAUAUAUGCACAUCCUUGGACCCAGCAGUUGCACUCCAGUGUGCAACAGGAUGAAUGGUUACAGAUAUCAUGGUACAUUCAUAAGACAGAAUCCAAUGCAAUUCAAAGAAGGAGCUGGAUCUAUGUGUCCUGACAUUCCGUGGUUUUGCAGCCUUAGUGACAUCUGGAUAUGAGUUUGGAGCAGAUAAAUGCAAGAAUCUGGUAACAAUCAGCUUGAGGCAAA
rnacentral:lncRNA from 10 species